ACAGGGAUUGCCCUAGUAACGGCGAGUGAAGCGGCAACAGCUCAAAUUUGAAAUCUGGCUCCUUUGGGGUCCGAGUUGUAAUUUGUAGAGGGUGCUUUGGUGUUGGCUGUGGUCCAAGUUCCCUGGAACAGGACGUCGCAGAGGGUGAGAACCCCGUACGUGGCCGCCAGUCUUCGCCGUGUAAAGCCCCUUCGAAGAGUCGAGUUGUUUGGGAAUGCAGCUCUAAAUGGGAGGUAAAUUCCUUCUAAAGCUAAAUAUUGGCCAGAGACCGAUAGCGCACAAGUAGAGUGAUCGAAAGAUGAAAAGCACUUUGGAAAGAGAGUGAAAUAGCACGUGAAAUUGUUGAAAGGGAAGCGCUUGGAGCCAGACGUGCCCGUAGUUGCUCAGCCGGGGUUCUCCCCGGUGCACUCUUCUGCGGGCAGGCCAGCAUCAGUUUGGGCGGUUGGAUAAAGACCUGCUAAACGUACCUCCCCCCGGGGAGGACUUAUAGGGUAGGCGGCAUACAACCAGCCCGGACUGAGGACCGCGCAUCUGCUAGGAUGCUGGCGUAAUGGCUGUAAGCGGCCCGUCUUGAAACACGGACCAAGGAGUCUAACAUCUAUGCGAGUGUUUGGGUGUCAAGCCCGAGCGCGCAAUGAAAGUGAACGCAGGUGGGAGCCCCUCGGGGUGCACCAUCGACCGAUCCUGAUGUCUUCGGAAGGAUUUGAGUAAGAGCAUAGCUGUUGGGACCCGAAAGAUGGUGAACUAUGCCUGAAUAGGGUGAAGCCAGAGGAAACUCUGGUGGAGGCUCGCAGCGGUUCUGACGUGCAAAUCGAUCGUCAAAUUUGGGCAUAGGGGCGAAAGACUAAUCGAAC
rnacentral:rRNA from 1 species